rnacentral:rRNA from 1 species
UCCUACGGGAGGCAGCAGUGGGGAAUUUUGGACAAUGGGCGCAAGCCUGAUCCAGCCAUGCCGCGUGUCUGAAGAAGGCCUUCGGGUUGUAAAGGACUUUUGUUAGGGAGCAAGUCCUGCAGGUUAAGAGCUAGUAGGGAUGAGAGUACCUAAAGAAUAAGCACCGGCUAACUACGUGCCAGCAGCCGCGGUAAUA